rnacentral:rRNA from 1 species
CCUACGGGUGGCAGCAGUGGGGAAUAUUGCACAAUGGGGGAAACCCUGAUGCAGCGACGCCGCGUGAGUGAAGAAGUAUUUCGGUAUGUAAAGCCCUAUCAGCAGGGAAGAAGAAAGACGGUACCUGACUAAGAAGCCCCGGCUAACUACGUGCCAGCAGCCGCGGUAAUACGUAGGGGGCAAGCGUUAUCCGGAUUUACUGGGUGUAAAGGGAGCGUAGACGGCUGUGCAAGUCUGCAGUUAAAGCCCAGGGCCCAACCCUGGGACUGCUUUUGAAACUGCGGAGCUAGAGUGCAGGAGAGGUAGGCGGAAUUCCUGGUGUAGCGGUGAAAUGCGUAGAUAUUAGGAGGAACACCAGUGGCGAAGGCGGCCUGCUGGACUGUGACUGACGUUGAGGCUCGAAAGCGUGGGGAGCAAACAGGAUUAGAUACCCCAGUAGUC